ensembl:lncRNA
UGGACAAGCAUGCUCAGAUGGUAAUUAUUAUAUAUUUUAUAAAAUGGUCAGAUAUAUCUAUUUUUAAUACAGACUAUACUUUAAAAAAAAAAUGUAUUGACAAAUGACCUAAUUAUAAUUAUUAUUAUAAUUUUCUGGUACCAAAAAAAAGAGAUGCAAAAACACAAGUUUGCCACCUCCUUAUUUUAAUAGUGAGGGUGCACCUGCUCUGUUUUCUCCAUGGCUCAUCUGUGGUGCUGACAUCUCUCAGGACUUCUUCUUCUUCUUCUUCUUCUUUGGUAGCAUGUGUUGAUCUGCUGUCGAUCCAAGUUAAAUAAUCUAUUCUUUCUUUCUACAUAUGAAGUGUGGAGGAGGAUCAUCCUGAGACGGUUAAAGACCAUCCAAGUCCAUCCAAGACCAUCCAUCCAAGACCAUCCAAGGCCAUCCAAGACCAUCCAAGACCAUCCAAGACCAUCGAAGGCCAUCCAAGACCAUCCAAGACCAUCCAAGACCAUCCAAAACCAUCCAAGACCAUCCAAGACCAUCCAUGACCAUCCAAGACCAUUGAAGGACAUCCAAGACCAUCCAAGACCAUCCGACCCUCCAAGACCAUCCAAGACCAUCCAAGGACAUCCAAGACCAUCCAAGACCAUCCAAGACCAUCCAAUGACAUCCAAGACCAUCCAAGACCAUCCAAGACCAUCCAAGACCAUCCAAGUCCAUCCAAGGACAUUCAAUUGUUUCUCUGUAAAGUAAGCUACGAGACUGUAAAGUAAGCUAAGCUAUGAGACCAAGAGACAGAAAAAGAGUUACAGCAGCUCAAUAGUCACGAUAGGGACAUUUCCUGAACCUCCUGUUGGAAUUUGACCUGUGCCUAAACUUAUAACUUGUUACUGACAAAUGCAUUUUAACCAGCAAAUGUUUUGUAUGUUUUAUAUUCGUUGUACAGUGAAGAAGAAAAAAGGUAACUCUUUUUUUUGGUAAUAAUUCAAUGUUUAAUUAAUAUUUUUAUUAUAUUCUCCUAUGUCAGUAUUCGACCUCUUAGGGUGGUACAAGCUUAGCUGUACACUCAUGUGUGCACUUGGCCAAGUCAGAUUUUUUUUGUGCUUUUUGUUUAGGCUAUAAAUGGAAUAAUACUUAAUUGUUCAGAGUUUUUAUUCAUAAUAUUGAUUACUUUUUAAUAGCUUUUUAUUGUUUAUAUUUUCUACAAUUACUAAUAAGUAAAUAUCUGAAUUACAGAGCUUUAAUUUUAAACUAAGUAUGUGUUUCUUCAGAAGACAGUGUAAAUAUUUAUCUUUAAUUCCCUGAGCAAUCCGUGAUUUCUGUAUAUUGGGGAGAUUUCCAGCUUCCUUAGUCCGAUUGCCCACUCUCUCUUUGGGCCUUUGGGUUACCAGGUGCUGGUGGUACUUUUCAGCCUGGUACCCACCUUCCUUAGUCCGAUUGCCCACUCUCUCUUUGGGCUACCGGACUCUGGGUUGCCCACUCUCUCUUGGGCCUUUGGGUUACCAGAUGCCGGUGGUACUUUUCAGCCUGGUACCCACCUUCCUUAGUCCGAUUGCCCACUCUAUUUUUGGGCUCUCAGACUCUGGGUUGCCCACUCUCUCUUGGGCCUUUGGGUUACCAGGUACCGGUGGUACUUUUCAGCCUGGUACCCACCUUCCUUAGUCCGAUUGCCCACUCUCUCUUUGGGCUUCCGGACUCUGGACUCUGGACUCUGUAUAUGGGGAGAGUUCCAGAACGGGGGAUGUCUUUGUAAAAACCUUCCAGUUAUUUACAGUUAUGUUGUAUGUCAUCUUCAGUAAAUGUUAACCAUUAUAUUAAUAGUAAUGUGUACAGAAGUUCUGCUCAUAUAAUGAAAUAAAUGUUGUUUUUUUUAGAUAUCAGAAGUAUUUCUUAUUUCUCCCUUUAAAAAGUAUCAGACAAGACAUAUAGUAUGUAUUAUUCAAGGUGUUAAUGAUGAUGAUGAAGAUGAGGAUGAUGAACACCUGCGCAAUUUGCUGAAUUUUUUAAUUUUUUUAUUAUUCAUUUUUUUAUGAACAAAUAUCAACAAAAAUGCAAAAACAAGCAUACAUACAAACUAUUAACAUUGCCAGGAAUCCCAAACAAACAAAUCAUAUUCAUUAUUAAUACAACAAGUUUGAAUUGGCUAUUUGUUUUUCAUUUUAGUUAAAGUAGUGCCAUAUUGUUUAAAUUAUUUUAUAAAAUGGGAGGGAAAAAAGUUCGGUUUUGAUUUAGACCAUUUGCAUUUGUGAAUAUGAAAAGUAUCUAAUAUAAUUAGCAGUUGAAUUAAAUAUACUACAUCUUUAUCAAUGUCAGAAUUUCUGAAAUAAAUGAUUAUAUCAA